rnacentral:rRNA from 1 species
UGGGCUAAUACCGGGAUAUGCCGAGAGGUGAAAGGCUUGCUGCCUGAAGAUGAGCUCGCGUCUGAUUAGCUAGUUGGUGUGGUAAGAGCGCACCAAGGCGACGAUCAGUAGCUGGUCUGAGAGGAUGAUCAGCCACACUGGGACUGAGACACGGCCCAGACUCCUACGGGAGGCAGCAGUGGGGAAUUUUCCGCAAUGGGCGAAAGCCUGACGGAGCAAUACCGCGUGAGGGAGGAAGGCUCUUGGGUUGUAAACCUCUUUUCUCAGGGAAGAAAAAAUGACGGUACCUGAGGAAUAAGCAUCGGCUAACUCCGUGCCAGCAGCCGCGGUAAUACGGAGGAUGCAAGCGUUAUCCGGAAUGAUUGGGCGUAAAGCGUCCGCAGGUGGCUGUGUAAGUCUGCUGUUAAAGAAUCUAGCUCAACUAGAUAAAAGCAGUGGAAACUACAUAGCUAGAGUGCGUUCGGGGUAGAGGGAAUUCCUGGUGUAGCGGUGAAAUGCGUAGAUAUCAGGAAGAACACCGGUGGCGAAAGCGCUCUACUAGGCCGCAACUGACACUGAGGGACAAAAGCUAGGGGAGCGAAUGGGAUUAGAUACCCCAGUAGUCCUAGCCGUAAACGAUGGAUACUAGGCGUGGCUUGUAUCGACCCGAGCCGUGCCGUAGCUAACGCGUUAAGUAUCCCGCCUGGGGAGUACGCACGCAAGUGUGAAACUCAAAGGAAUUGACGGGGGCCCGCACAAACGGUGGAGUAUGUGGUUUAAUUCUAUGCAACGCGAAGAACCUUACCAAGACUUGACAUGUCGCGAAUCCUGGUGAGAACUGGGAGUGUCUUCUGGAGCGCAAACACAUGUGGUGCAUGGCUGUCUUCUCGUGUCGUGAGAUGUUGGG